rnacentral:rRNA from 1 species
UGAGACACGGACCAGACUCCUACGGGAGGCAGCAGUGGGGAAUCUUGCACAAUGGGCGAAAGCCUGAUGCAGCCAUGCCGCGUGAAUGAUGAAGGCCUUAGGGUUGUAAAAUUCUUUCGCCAGGGAUGAUAAUGACAGUACCUGGUAAAGAAGCCCCGGCUAACUUCGUGCCAGUAGCCGCGGUAAUACGGAGGGUGCAAGCGUUAAUCGGAAUUACUGGGCGUAAAGCGCGCGUAGGCGGCUUGUUAAGCCAGAUGUGAAAGCCCCGGGCUCAACCUGGGAACUGCAUUUGAUACUGCGGAGCUAGAGUAUGGUAGAGGAUAGUGGAAUUCCAGGUGUAGCGGUGAAAUGCGUAGAGAUCGGAUGGAACACCAGUGGCGAAGGCGGC